ACGGGAGGCAGCAGUGAGGAAUAUUGGUCAAUGGGCGGAAGCCUGAACCAGCCAUGCCGCGUGAAGGAUUAAGGCCCUAUGGGUCGUAAACUUCUUUUGUUGUGGAGCAAUAAGGAUCACGUGUGGUCCGAUGAGAGUACACAGCGAAUAAGCAUCGGCUAACUCCGUGCCAGCAGCCGCGGUAAUACGGAGGAUGCAAGCGUUAUCCGGAUUUAUUGGGUUUAAAGGGUGCGUAGGCUGUCGGUCAAGUCAGAGGUGAAAGCCCGGGGCUCAACUCCGGAACUGCCUUUGAUACUGUCCGGCUUGAAUACUGUUGCCGUGGGAGGAAUGAGUAGUGUAGCGGUGAAAUGCAUAGAUAUUACUCAGAACACCGAUUGCGAAGGCAUCUCACGAAUCCGACAUUGACGCUGAGGCACGAAAGCGUGGGGAUCAAACAGGAUUAGAUACCCUGGUA
rnacentral:rRNA from 1 species